UUCCCUUCCCCCCACGCCUCCGCCCAACACACACGCACACACAGUCCAGCCUCCCACCGGACACCUAACCUCAGUCCCCCCUGCAGCGCCAGGAGGAAUAAGUCAGGAGCUUUGACAACAGUGGUUCUCAAACUCCAGUGUGCCCCAGAAUCAACUGGAUGGUUUAGUAACACCGAUUGCUGGGCCUCAUCCUCAGAGAUACUGAUUCUGUGCUAAAACAUGCCAGACAGCAGAUUCUUAAUCUAGAAAAUUAUUUAAGGAGCAGCAACAAAAUUCAAAUUUUCUGACAGCGGAAGGUAGAACAGAAAGUUCUCAACUGGGGAUGAUUCUGGCCCCUGGGGACAUUUGUGGAGACAUUUUUGGUUGCCUCAACCUGAGGGGGUCAGGGGAAGUGUGUUCUACUGGUAUCUAGUGGGUCGAGACCAGGGGUGCUGCUCAACUUCCUGCAGUGCAAAACACAGCGCUCACAAUAAGGAAUUACCCAGCCCAGAAUGUCAAUAGUGCUAAGACUGAGAAACCUGGGCCUACAACUGUUUUCAAUACAAAUACAAAUGAAAAUGAGGGAGGCAGUCUGAACUUUACACACUGGAUGAAGAUCCUUUUCAAAGGUGGAAAUAAAGCAACCCUAAAGGAGGAACUCAACCUAGGGUACAAGAAGAGAGGAAACGUUUUGUUCCUUUGUGUUCCGCAUGUCAUUAGGAAGUACACGUGCGUGGACUAUUACAUUACAGUGAAUCAUGACCAUGUGUUCAUUCUAAACAUUGUUGUAUUUGUUAUUCCUAACUUUAAUAAACUGUAAAAUCUGAAUGUGGCAUCACCAAACACCAUGAAAUGUGUUCUCCCCUUUUCCAAUAGUGCAUCAACUAAUGGUUAAAUGUGAUCUGUAACUUGACAGAGUCUAUGCAAUCCUUCCACAUUUUAUUCGGCUUAGAGAUCACAGCCUCUAGAACAGAAUGAUAAUUUAAAGCAGAUGUUCUUCUAAACUAUGUUUCACUCAAAUCCAGCAAUAUGAUAAAGGGAAAAAAUGGGGAAACAUUGAUGGGGCUUCAGGAUAAAGGGUUUUAUAUUUUUCACAAUGAUUUGAAUGUUAGUUCUCUUCUUUUUCAGGCCACAUUCUGGUGUAUUCUCUCAUCAUUUAAUUACAUGUUACCUGUUGCUUUAGUCUACCCUUUCUGAUUUACUCCCAGUUUCUAUUUCAUUUAUAUAAG